AUGAGGUGCCACAAGGCACGGAGGAACAAGAAGGGGAAAGGUGUUGCGCCUGUCGUUUCGGAACGAAAGAGAGGUAUCAUUCUCAAGACUGAGUGCCCUGUCCGGUGUAAGCUAAACGUAGAUGGAGCACUAUGGGUGGUCAAUGAAUAUUUUGAUGAGCACAACCACCAACUCAUAAAGAAGUUCGACCUGGUAAAAUUUCUGACCGCCCACAGAGGGUUCACCCCCGUCGAAAGGCAAUUCGUAAAGCUGCUACAUGAUUGUAACGUCGUUCCAUCAAGAAUGGUACAGAUACUAUCUCUCAUCCACAGCAAAAAGGGGGACAUGCCGUACAUACCAGCUGACGUCACAAACCUACAGGCCAAGUACCGUAGAGAGAGCAAGUUGGCAGACAUAGAGGCCACACUGGCCUACUUCGAUGAAAAAGCGAAGGAAGAUCCAGAUUUCUUCUACAGGAUAAGGUUGAACGAUGAGGACCGUGUCAGGAACAUGUACUGGGUGGAUGGUGCUGCAAGGAGAGCCUACAAACAUUUCCGAGAUUGCAUUUCAUUCGACGCGACGUACCUCACCAAUAUGUACAAGAUGCCAUGCGCUCCGUUCAUAGGAAUAAAUAACCGCAACACGGAUGGGUACGUUUGGCUGUUCAAGACCUUCUUGGAGUGCAUGGAUGGACUUGCUCCGAUGAACAUAAUAACAAACCAAGAUUUCAGCAUGCGUGCAGGCAUAGAGGAGGUCUUUCCGUUGGCAGUGCACAGGCACUGCAGGUGGCACAUUAUAAAGAAGGCUGAGGAGAUGCUAGGACCGUUCUUUGCUACUACGCAGCGCAGCGAGGGGUUCAAUGCUAUUUUGAAGCGACGGGACGGCAUUGUGUGCUAUCACAUACUAAAAGUAAUGGACAUGAACGCUGUGACACGGAUGCCCCGCCAUUUCAUAAGGUGGUGAUGGACUUGGGACGCUGACGACGCGUUGGCGCCGCAGACAACACACACAGUUCUGGUUGUGCAUGACGAGAGACCUGAGUCAACCAUGGAAGCCGUGAGGCACGUUGUGUUGACAAAGAACUAUGCUGAGCUAAUUGAUGAAGCGUGCAAGAGUGAUGAGACAGCGAGAGUCGCAUAA
rnacentral:rRNA from 1 species